UACGUAGGUGGCAAGCGUUGUCCGGAUUUACUGGGCGUAAAGAGCGCGCAGGCGGUUAUUCAAGUCGAAUGUGAAAGCCCCCGGCUUAACUGGGGAGGGUCAUUCGAUACUGUUUAACUUGAAGGCAGGAGAGGGUAGUGGAAUUCCCGGUGUAGUGGUGAAAUGCGUAGAUAUCGGGAGGAACACCAGUGGCGAAGGCGGUUGCCUGGAGCUUUGCUGACGCUGAUGCGCGAAAGCGUGGGGAGCGAUCCGG
rnacentral:rRNA from 1 species